rnacentral:lncRNA from 1 species
UUCCUCAUCCUCCGAGACGUUCACUGCCUUCACCUCCUUCACCGUCACCAUCACCUUCACCAUCACCAUCACCAUCACCAUCACCUCGGUCAACUCCAAUUCCUCAUCCUCGGAAACGUUCACCAGCUUCACCAUCACCAUCACCAUCACUGUCAAAGUCGCCUUCACCCUCCGAGUCACCAUCACUGGCACCGUCACCUUCAGAUUCAGUAGCUUCAUUGGCACCGUCAUCUUCACCUUCAGACGAGUCACCUUCACCGGCACCGUCCCCAAGUUCAUCUGGUAGUAAAGGUGGUGGUGCUGGCCAUGGAUUCUUGGAAGUUUCAAUCGCUAUGAUGAUGUUCUUAAUUUUCUAGAUUAUGUUUACGUAUUUGCAUUGAUGUCU